AAGUAUUGUCAAUACUCUAACAACUAGGGAUAGAUAUCUAAAUAGACCUUCAUACUGGUCAAGUAAAGGACAUGCUGAUCCAGAUGCCGCUGAGACACUAAUUUACAAAUUGAAAGCCGAUCUCUGUGUUAUUACUGAAAUCAAUGUACAACCUUUUGAAGGUGAUUACUUCAGCUUUAUUCUGUCUUUUCAACAUAAGUUUCACAGAUUUCCCAAGUUUUACUUGGUCCGCUUGAGUCUUGACUAAUAUAUAAUGUUUCAUUUGCAGCUUAUUUCCAGACCGGCAAGCCUAUAUACUCCGCAAAAUCUGUUCGAUUUCGUCUAGGACACCCCAAAAUAUCAGACGAAAAUGAUAUCCUGCAAGUGCCUCAGGAACAGCCUGCUGAUGAGACAAGUUCAUAUGGACGUAUACCUCAGAAGUAUACCCUAUGGUACAGGUAUUCUUUUAUAACUUUCUCUCCUAACAAAGAUGGUCUCACGUCUAAUUUGUUUUUGUUAGAAGUAAUCCCCACUGGUAAGGCGGGUGUCACCUUUUAUCUUGCCAAAGUAGUGUCAUGAGUAAAAUCUCAACUAGUUUAAGCUUCAUCUUAGAGCUUUCGAGAGGAGUGUCAUAGAGUACUUGCAUGGGAAGAUUUAACCUAUUAUAAAAAUUGAUGAGCAGGAAAACCGCUUACAACAGUUCAAGCUACCAGAACAGGUACUUUGCAUUGGUGGAUAUCUGCAGAUUGAACUGUUGGGUAGAGUUCAGAGACAACAAGCGGAUGACUUGUUUUACAUAUGGUUAGUUUUCUGCUCUCGCCUUUCUUACUUGAAAGGUCUACUUUUUCUCUAUUGCUCUACCCAUCAACAAGAUGUAGCAGCCAGAGGCAGAUGCUUUGUGGAAUAGUUUCUUUUGACCCACUAAAAUUUCCACAAGCUAUAAAUAUGAAGCACAAUUUCAGAAUUAUAAUGAACGCAUUGCUAAGAACCUUAAAAGUUAAUCUGCCAAAUAAAAAUCUUGGAUCAGCCUUUGGUAGGAGUAGACAUGCGCCUGAGGCAUAAGCAGUGGCGUAGAGGCAGCUGAUUAGUGCUAAUUUCUCUCGAGUGAUCUAAUGCUGUUUCAUUCAUAUAUGCAGCGUUUGCCAUGUGAAAGCUCUCGGGCGGCCCCUCUGCCCUGCAUUUGACAUAGAAAUCCUUGAACCAUCAGGGAAGUUUAUGUUGAGGUACAACCCGGAGGUUUUCCGAUGGAUGUUGCAAAGCUUUUCAGAAGACUCAAAUAUGUCUCCGGUGUCAUCAGAGGAAGAAGUGGUUGAACAUGUAGGUCUUAUGGGGUUUCUGGUAGGGGAUUACCAUCCUGGUAUCGAAGUCAUGGAAUGGGAUGACGAUGAUGAAAUGGAUGAACCUGUCCAACCUUACUAGUAUGAUAAUCUCUUGCAUGUAGUUUUUAAAUUUCCUUCAAGUCAACUUACCAUGGUUAAGUAAAUAAUGCGGAGAAUAUAUGUCAAAUAACCAAAGUAAAUGAGAUAAGUCUGAGAAAAUACAUGUGUAUCUAUUGACCGGUGUCAUCAGAGGAAGAAGUGGUCGAACAUGUAGGUCUUAUGGGGUUUCUGGUAGGGGAUUACCAUCCUGGUAUCGAAGUCAUGGAAUGGGAUGACGAUGAUGAAAUGGAUGAACCUGUCCAACCUUACUAGUAUGAUAAUCUCUUGCAUGUAGUUUUUAAAUUUCCUUCAAGUCAACUUACCAUGGUUAAGUAAAUAAUGCGGAGAAUAUAUGUCAAAUAACCAAAGUAAAUGAGAUAAGUCUGAGAAAAUACAUGUGUAUCUAUUGAUCUGGUGUAGACACUUGGGUAAGUGUUUGCCUUCUUUCAUGCCCUUGUGGUUUGCUUUUAUCAUAGUUUUCCCGAAUAUUUCAAGCGGAAUGCAAAUAAACAGCAAAAAGAGGUGCGCAGUAGAUAUACGUCGGCAUUGCGACUGUUUUUGGUUAGAUAGAAAAAUUUAGGUCAAGCUGUUUGUAAUCUUGAUUGGUUUUUGAUUCUGUGGUGUAUUUCGUGAAUUCUCUUGUCUGGUUUUCCUUGAAUAUUAUCCACUUCUUUGAGUUCUACUAACGUUUGGUGCCAGAUAGUAUUGAAAUAUUUUUUUCAAAGUCUUUUUAAUUGUUU
rnacentral:lncRNA from 1 species